GGGACACUAGUAAAAGAAAUAUUACAUUGCUUUGUCAGAGCAAUAUUGUGGGUUUGCCCCCACGUGUCCUU
rnacentral:tRNA from 3 species